rnacentral:rRNA from 1 species
GACGUAGGGGGCAAGCGUUAUCCGGAUUCACUGGGCGUAAAGGGCGCGUAGGCGGUUACGAAAGUCCGAUGUGAAAAGUCACGGCUCAACUGUGAUCGUGCAUCGGAUACUUCGUUGACUUGAGGUCGGUAGAGGCAAGUGGAACUAGCGGUGUAGCGGUGAAAUGCGCAGAUAUCGCUAGGAACGCCGGUGGCGAAGGCGACUUGCUGGGCCGUACCUGACGCUGAUGCGCGAAAGCUAGGGGAGCGAACCGG